AAUUAUCCCCACGCCGCCUGCUUCCGGUUAGAAGUAGCAGUGCAGCUACAACGGAGUGACCAAUCUACCACCACCGCCCCACACCCACACGCCGCUCGACCUCGUCCCGAGAUCUCUGGCGCCUCCCAUGAAUCCCCAGCCCCUCCGCCUCGGCGCGCUCUUGGCGGCCCUCGUGCUUGCCGCCGGCGGCGGGUGGUGGGGCCGUGCGGAGGCGUCGAUCCACACCUACGGCCGCGAGUCGUUCCGCGAGGUGGG
rnacentral:rRNA from 1 species